ensembl:lncRNA
GAAAAAUGCUAUAAAGUAAGUGGUGGUGGUGUUCCCUCAAAAGUACAUGUACUGGCUGGGGAUUUAGCUCAGUGGUAGAGCGCUUACCUAGGAAGCGCAAGGCCCUGGGUUCGGUCCCCAGCUCCGAAAAAAAGAACAACAACAACAAAAAAAAGUACAUGUACUGAAGAUUUAACUUCCAACCUGAACCCUACUAGGACCUUUUGAAAGUGGGGCCUAGUGGAAGUGUGUGCCAUUGGAGAGGAUGUUGGGACCCUUCCUGUCUUGCUUCCAUGGUACCUAUGAGGUGAGCAGCUUUAUCUCACCCAGAGAGCAAAGCCAGCUGACUGCCACAGACACAGACCUCUGAAGCCAGUCACCUCUUCACUUCCUUUAAGUUGCUUACUGAUACGAAUAGACUCCUUCUGUCCAUAUAGAAAAUACUUAGUUGUUUGCACUGGAGAAGGGGCUUAGCCUUCAAAGCACUUGCUACACUUCCAUCCGGAAUCACACCAAUGCCUCUAACUUUUUAACAAGAGCUUUUUGAAAACAAGAACUUUUUGCAAUUGUAGCGACUGUUAAAAUAGAGAAAAGCCAAGAACAUCUUGACUGCAGGAGCAGCAGAGAGGGAAAAGUCACACAGUGGAAUACAUACGGCAGCUAAGGGAAGAAGCUGGCUUUCGUUUUGCCAAUGGACAAAUGGUUACAGGCAGAAUUCAAAACCAGUGUGGGGUGAACAAAAGCAAACAGCAGAAGUGUGCAUAUAUUAUGACACCAUAUCUGCAAAUAAACACAGGCUUUAGGUAGGACCUAUGCUCACCUCAUAGUAUAAGUAUGAACUUUUCCAUACCACAUCCAUGAUAGCUGUGGCCUCUUUAGAAGGAGUGGAAAUGGGACUGAGGAGGGCAAACUAGUGUUUUAACUUAAUCUACAGUGCUUGCUGCUUUUAUUAAAAAGCCAAAGGUAAACUCUCAACAUUUAAUUUUUUUCUACAUUUAUUUUUGUGUAUGAGUAUUUUGCUCAAAUGUAGGCUUGUGUACCACAUGUGAGCCGGGUACCCAUGGAACCCAGAAAAGGGCAUUGGAUCCCUUAGAACUGGAGACACGGAUGGUUGUGAGCCACAAAGGUGAUGGUACACUAUGUAUGGCUUUAAUUUUUAAAAUGUUUUUAAAUACGUGUAUUUGGAAACUAGAAACAAAUUGGAAACAAGUGUCCAAGAUAGGGCUUUGAAGAAGAAACUACUUGACAGUCAGUCAAGUCAGGCGUUAUGGUGUGUACCCAUAGUCCCACCACUCAGGAGGUGUCAGCCAGAGGCUCUGAGGUUAAGGUCACCCUCAGCUACAUAGUGAAUUCUAGUCCAGCUGUGAGGCCAGCAAGACAUUACCUUUAAAUAAUAAUAAUUAAUAAUAAUAAUAGAAAAGUAUAUUAUCUGAAUAUAGUGAUUCUAGGUGAUGUUUUUAUCUUAUAACUUUUGAUACAUCAAUAGUAGGAUAGCCAACAAAAUUUUUUUUUUGAAUUAGCAAAAUAAGGGAUUGGAGAGAUGGCUCUGCAGUUAAGAGCACUGAUUGCUCUUCCAGAGGCCCUGAGCUCAAUUCCCAGCAACCACAUGGUGGCUCAUAACCAUCUGUAAUGUAAUCUGAUGCCCUCUUCUGGUGUGUCUGACAGCUACAGUGCACUCAUAUAAAUAUUAAAUAAACCUUAAGAGACUAGCAAAAUAAGUGCACUUACGUGAUGUAUGUAGUUGAGAGAAAGAAACACAAGGCCAGUUGAGCACAGCGUCAUCUUUAGUGACAAAAUUGCCAUGUAUAAAUUGGUAUAUUCUUUGUGUGACCUGUGUUGUAGCCUAGAGUGAUGGUGCAGACAUACAUUUUGUCUCAUCCAGUCUUUAGAGGAACCAUGUUAUUAACCUUUUCUGAGAGAAGAAGACCUUGAAGUACAGGGAGCCAAGCGAUUUGCCCAGGAUCAAAGAGCUGAGAUUUGAAUCUAGGUAGAUCUAACUGCAUAGCUUAGAAGCACCGAAUUACAAGGCUCUCCAGGUAAUCACGGGAAGUCAUGAUUACAACAUAGUCACAAACACAGAAACAAGCCAAAUUAACCCCUUUACUCAGGUGCUGUUCUUGGCUGGUUGUUGUGUUGCUGAAGAGGGGAGCCAGGGCCUCACAGGUGCUAGGCAGGCACUGUGCCACUAAGCUGUCCCCAGCCAUGUCUGAAGAGAGGAGGAGUGUGAUUGAAAGAAGAAAUGUCUGCAGAGGGAGGAAGAGAGGAAGCAGCACAAAGCAGAGACAUCCGUCAUAGACCUGGCUAGGGCUGGGCGUCCUCUCUCCAGUAAGGCUCCUGAGUUUCAGAGAGGAUAGUUUAGGGUCCCUCAAGACUGACAUCCUGCUCACGUUAUCUCUGAGUGCAACAAUCCUGACUAUUGACUCAAUGUCCUUCGUGCCAUUGGGUGUCUGGAGAGCCGGUCUGGUCUUCAGGCACAUUCUUGUCUCAUUACUUGUCACCAGUGUGAUGGAGACUCAUCGGAUCCGUCUCACUGCAAAGCUGCUCUCUCAACAGUGAUGAAAAUAAAGGGCAGGGUGAGGUCAGAUGGAGAAAGGCCCGGAUGCCGGGAAGAGGCGCGCACACUGACUUGUCUCCUUAGGAGUUGGUUUCCCAUGUUUGCCUCUCGUUAACCGGGCUACAGCUUCCUGCAUCACAGGAAACCAUAAAGAGCCUCCUAACUGACAAGCACAUCAAAUAGACGUUAAAGCCGUCUUUACUGUGUCAAAUAUCAAAGAUUAAGCAUGAACCAUUUCUGCUCAAGUGUGGUGGUGCAAACCCACAAUCCCAGCACUCAGGAUGCUGGCGUGGGAAGACUGAGAGUUCCAGGCCAGCCUAGACUGUAUCAAGACACCUGUAUCAAUGCGUGAAUGAAAUAUUAUCUGUCUCUGACCCAGCUUCAGGGAGCUCCUUCUUGGCUGAUCCUUGGCUACACUGGUUCAAAGGUUCCUCUAGCUUGUGUCAAGCACAGCAGGCUACUGCAGUUUCCCUUCGCUGUGAAGGAUACAACAGGAGGCUCUGGACAGAUUCUGGCACUCUAUGCAUUUUCAAGACUCCUAUGGAAAAUAAAUGUCUUUAUAAAUUA